rnacentral:rRNA from 1 species
CAAGCGUGGAGCAUGUGGUUUAAUUCGAUGCAACGCGAAGAACCUUACCUACUCUUGACAUCCAGAGAAUUUGCUAGAGAUAGCUUAGUGCCUUCGGGAACUCUGAGACAGGUGCUGCAUGGCUGUCGUCAGCUCGUGUUGUGAAAUGUUGGGUUAAGUCCCGCAACGAGCGCAACCCUUAUCCUUUGUUGCCAGCGAGUAAUGUCGGGAACUCAAAGGAGACUGCCGGUGAUAAACCGGAGGAGGUGGGGAUGACGUCAAGUCAUCAUGGCCCUUACGAGUAGGGCUACACACGUGCUACAAUGGCAUAUACAAAGAGAAGCGAACUCGCGAGAGCAAGCGGACCUCAUAAAGUAUGUCGUAGUCCGGAUUGGAGUCUGCAACUCGACUCCAUGAAGUCGGAAUCGCUAGUAAUCGUAGAUCAGAAUGCUACGGUGAAUACGUUCCCGGGCCUU